UUUUGGCUGGCCCCUCAAUCGUGUUCCCGCGGCCGCUGGCGGGCGGCAGCACUCGACGCGUGGCCGACUGCGGCCCAGAGUGAGUAGGCGUACAGCACACUAGGUCGUACAGUUCACAUAGCCCAGAGAAAUUUGGAUUAAUACCGCAUAGGAUACUAGAUCAGCAUUGAUUAUGUAUUAAACAUUCAUGGGUAAGAGAUGGGCAUGCGUUCUAUUAGUUAGUUGGAGUGGUAACGGCACCCCAAGACAGCGAUAGAUAGGGGCCCUGAGAGGGGGAUCCCCCACACUGGUACUGAGACACGGACCAGACUCCUACGGGAGGCAAGCAGUGAGGAAUAUUGGACAAUGGGCGGGAGCCUGAUCCAGCCAUGCCGCGUGCAGGAAGACUGCCCUAUGGGUUGUAAACUGCUUUUGUACGGGAAGAAACACCCCCUCGUGAGGGGGCUUGACGGUACCGUAAGAAUAAGGAUCGGCUAACUCCGUGCCAGCAGCCGCGGUAAUACGGAGGAUCAAGCGUUAUCCGGAAUAUUGGGUUUAAGGGUCCCUAGGUGGCCCGUUAAGUCAGAGGUGAAAUCCUGCACUUAACUGUAGAAUUGCUUUGAUCUGGCGGCUUGAAUAUUUGUGAAGUGGUUAAAUAUGU
rnacentral:rRNA from 1 species